AUCACCUAUAUGAUUUGACAGUCUUCUUUGUUCUGGGACCUCUCCACAGUAGGCAUUGUGAUAUAUCACUUGGCCUAGCAGAGAGCAUUGUGACAUACCCGCGAGCCAAGCACACAGAUGAUGUUAUUCUGCUGCCUGUGCCCUGCUUUCAGGAGUGGAUUGCAAUGUAACACUGGCUGAGUACCCAGGUUAAUGACACUGUUGCCUGGUCCCUGUUCUCAGGGAAGACUGUAAUAGACCCCUGACCCAAUAUCCAGGGGACAUUGUGACAUACUUCUUGGCCAUGAACCCAGGUUAUGUGAGCCUUUCUGUGCCCUGCCCAUGUGGACAAUUGUGACAUAUUACCGAGUCCUACACCCAGGCGAUGCUACUCUCCUGUCUGGUCCUUGCCUACAGGGAACAUUGUGACAUAUCUCUUUGCCAUUCAUCCAGGUUCUGCCCACAGGGAAGAUUGUGGUGAAUUACUGAACGCGAUACCUAGAUGAAGGAGAGACUAUAACAUACCUCUUGGCCCAGCACCUAGUUGAUGUAACUCUGCUCUCCUGCCUGGGCCACACCUACAGAAGAAAGAGUGACUUCUCACUGGGCCAGCACACAGGUGCGGGAUGGUUAAAUAUCACUGGACCUAGCACCUAGGGAAUGUGACUCUUGUCUUUUGCAUCAGCCCCACUCGUUUUGAGAACUGUAACAUAUCACUGGGCCAAACACCUAGAAGAUGGGAAGUGUCUGCCUAUGCCCUGCAAACAGGGCUUUAGCCCUACCACUCUCAAGAGCCUCGUGACAUAUCUCUGCAUUCAUCAUCUAGGAGAUGUGACUCCUCCCUGCUGCCUGCGCUCUGCCUACAGGGAAGACCAUAACAACAUUUGGCCCAGCAACACGGUGAUGUGUUUUUUCCCAGGGCCUUGCUCACAGGGAGCAUUGUGACAUAUCACUGGAACCAGCAUCCAGGGCUGUGACUCUGUGUCCUGCUGUUAGAACAGGAUUGUAACAUAUCACUGACCAAGCACCCAGGUGAUGUGACUCUUCUGCCUGGUGCCUGCCUUCAGGGAAAAUUGUGACAUAUGCCUGGCCUAGCACCAAAGUGAUGUGGCUCUCCUGCUACCUCUAUGCACAGGUGGGAUUGUGACAUAUACCUUCAUUCAGCUCAUAGGUGAGGUGAUAACUCUCAUACCACAAACCAAACAGUAGGAGAGAUGCUGUCUGUCAAAGCUAAGCUUACAGAAAUACACAAGAUUCAGGGACUUUUCUUUGUAUAAACAUUAUAGUAGAUUACUGCUCUCUUGUAUAUAAUAUAAACUUCUCAGGUGGUACAGAGAGUGUCAUCACAGGGCCCAGCGCACAGGUGAGAAUACAUUAUUUGUAUGCACGCCCCACCACCCAUUAGGAUUUUCACCCUCAAACAUGGAAAGAGCCUACUGGUAAGGUCUUGAAUCUCACACCUGGAUGCAGUCUACAGUUGAAAUUGUGAUUGUCAUAGGUGAAUAUCCAGCUGCAGUUGAGAUGGUGACUCAUUUCUAACUUAGCUCUGAGGCAGGUGAGGACUGUUUUAUUUGGAACCAGCCAAUUAUAAAGAUGUUGACUCUCAUAUUUGAGCUUAGUUCUACAGGUACAAUCAUGGGUCCAUAACAUCAUGAAGGUCAUAGAGCAGUUUGCAACUCUCAUUAAUACUGUAGAAGGCUCUUGGGUGGUACUGAGAGGGUCUUAGCAGAGCCCCGCACACAGGUGAGAUUGUGACACUCAUAUGCACACCCAGCCAACAAUAAAACUUUUCAUCUUUCCACAUGAACACAGCCCACUGUUGAGGUCCUGAGUCUCCCUUGUGAAAACAGUGCAAAGUUGAAAAAUUGACUCUUAUAUGUGGAUUUGGUUCACAGAUGGGUUGGUGAUGCUCAGACAAAUAUUCAGCACACCUGUGAGUCUGCGACUCCAGUAAUCAUCCACAGUCUGCAGGAGAAAUUGAGGCUCUCACCAACAAAUCAAGUGCACAAUUGAGAUUGCGACUCUUGUACUCAGACCCAACAUACAGAAUGUGUUGACUCUCAAUUUUAAAACCAGAACAUGUGACUGCCUGCAGGGGAUAUGGUGACAUUUUACUUUGCCCAGCACCAAGAUGACUUGAAUCUGCUGCCUUUGUUCUACUUUCAGAAGACAUUGUGACAUAUCGCUGGGCCUAGCACCAAGGUGAUGUGAAUCUUCUGCCUGGACCUGCUCACAGAGGGAAUUGUUACAUAUUUUUGACUUCAUCAACUAUUUGAUGUGACUCUCCUCUCUAACCUGGGCCUUGCCCAUAAAAAACAUUGUGGCUUAUCUCUGGGCCCAAAACCUAGGUGAUGUGACUGUCUUCUUAGGGUCAUGCCCACAGUAGAGAGAUGCCUUAUUGCUAAACCCAGCACACAGGUGAGGUGAUUCUUCUGUCUGGUCCCUGCCCACAGGGGUCAUGAUGACAUCUCUCUAAGCCCAUCACCUAGAUUAUGUGAGUUCUCUUUUUCUUCUGUUAGCUAUAUAGAAGAUUGUGACAUAUUGCUUGGCCCAGACCUCAUGUGAUGUGAAUCUCCUCUCAUGCCUUGGUCCUGUUUUUUUUUGGCCGUUGUUGUUUUGUUUUGUUUUUUGAGAUGGAGUCUUGCUCUGUUGCCUAAGCUGGAGUGCAGUGGCAUAAUCUAGGCUCACUGCAACCUCUGCCUCCUGGGUUCAAGUUAUUCUCCUGCCUCAGCCCCUGAAUAGCUAGGAUUAAAGGUGAGUGCCACCACACUCAGCUAAUUUUUGUAUUUUUAGUAGAGAUGGGGUUUCACCAUGUUGAUUAGGCUGGUAUUGAACUCCUGACUUCGUGAUCAACUCGCCUCUGCCUCCCAAACUUUUGGGAUUACAGGCAUGAGCCACCAUGCCCAGUCAAGAUGAUGAUACAUUUCUAAACCCAGGUUAUAGGCAGGUGAGGGUUCUUCUACCUAUACACACGUUUAAAGGGAUGUUGAAUCUCACACGUGGUCUCAGGGCCACAGGUACAAGCAUGGGUCUUCACCAGCAUGAAUAUCUCAGAGCAUACUGCGACUCUCCAGUGUAAUGUAUAAAGCUCUCAGGUGGGACAGUGUCCUAACAGGAUCCAGAACACAGAAAAGAUGUUGAUGCUCCUAUGCACACCCAGGUCACAGUAAAAUAUGUCAUUUUCCCACAUAAUCAUAGCCCAAUGUUGAGAUUCUGCAUCUCACACCUGAAAGAAGUUGAAAGAUGGAAAAUUGACUCUCUUAUAUAGAUCUGGUCUACAGGUAGGUUGGUGACAUUCAGAUCAAAAUUAAGUACACUUGUGAGGCUAUAACUCUUCUAAGAAGACACAGCUCACAGGAGCAACUGAUGCUCCUAUGAACAAAUCCAGUCCGUGAUUGAGAUUCUAACUCAUGUACUUAUUGUCAGGCCUCUGAGCCCAAGCUAAGCCAUCAUAUCCCCUGUGACCUGCACGUAUACAUCCAGAUGGCCUGAAGCAACCGAAUAUCCACAAAGGAAGUGAAAAUAGCCGUAACUGAUGACAUUCCACCAUUGUGAUUUGUUCCUGCCCCACCCUAACUGAUACGAUAUAUUCUCCCUCUGCCCUGAAGAAGGUACUUUGUAAUAGUCUCCCCCCACCUUAAAAAGGUACUUUGUAAUAUUCUCCCCACCCGUGAGAAUGUACUUUGUACACCUAUCCCAAACCUAUAAGAACUAAUGAUAAUCCCACCACGCUUUGCUGACUCCUUUUUUGGACUCAGCCCACCUGCACCCAGGUGAAAUAAACAGCCUUGUUGCUCAC
rnacentral:lncRNA from 10 species